UACAGAGGUCUCAAGCGUUGUUCGGAUUCAUUGGGCGUAAAGGGUGUGUAGGUGGCGCGCUAAGUCGGGUGUGAAAUUUCGGAGCUUAACUCCGAAACUGCAUUCGAUACUGGCGUGCUUGAGGACUGGAGAGGAGACUGGAAUUCAUGGUGUAGCAGUGAAAUGCGUAGAGAUCAUGAGGAAGACCAGUGGCGAGGGCGGGUCUCUGGACAGUUCCUGACACUGAGACACGAAGGCUAGGGGAGCAAACGGG
rnacentral:rRNA from 1 species